rnacentral:rRNA from 1 species
AUUGAACGCUGGCGGCAUGCUUUACACAUGCAAGUCGAACGGUAACAGGUCUUCGGAUGCUGACGAGUGGCGAACGGGUGAGUAAUGUAUCGGAACGUGCCCAGUAGUGGGGGAUAACUACUCGAAAGAGUGGCUAAUACCGCAUGAGAACUGAGGUUGAAAGCGGGGGACCUUCGGGCCUCGCGCUACUGGAGCGGCCGAUAUCAGAUUAGGUAGUUGGUGGGGUAAAGGCCUACCAAGCCGACGAUCUGUAGCUGGUCUGAGAGGACGACCAGCCACACUGGGACUGAGACACGGCCCAGACUCCUACGGGAGGCAGCAGUGGGGAAUUUUGGACAAUGGGCGCAAGCCUGAUCCAGCCAUGCCGCGUGCGGGAAGAAGGCCU